rnacentral:rRNA from 1 species
GAUGAACGCUGGCGGCGUGCCUAAUACAUGCAAGUCGAGCGAACAGACGAGGAGCUUGCUCCUCUGACGUUAGCGGCGGACGGGUGCGUAACACGUGGAUAACCUACCUAUAAGACUGGGAUAACUUCGGGAAACCGGAUCUAAUACCGGAUAAUAUAUUGAACCGCAUGGUUCACUAGUUAAAUACGGUUUUGCUGUCACUUAUAGAUGGAUCCGCGCCGCAUUAGCUAGUUGGUAAGGUAACGGCUUACCAAGGCGACGAUGCGUAGCCGACCUGAGAGGGUGAUCGGCCACACUGGAACUGAGACACGGUCCAGACUCCUACGGGAGGCAGCAGUAGGGAAUCUUCCGCAAUGGGCGAAAGCCUGACGGAGCAACGCCGCGUGAGUGAUGAAGGUCUUCGGAUCGUAAAACUCUGUUAUUAGGGAAGAACAAAUGUGUAAGUAACUAUGCACGUCUUGACGGUACCUAAUCAGAAAGCCACGGCUAACUACGUG